UACGUCAUCCCCACCUUCCUCCGGUUUGUCACCGGCAGUCUCCCUAGAGUUCCCACCAUUACGUGCUGGCAACUAGGGACAAGGGUUGCGCUCGUUGCGGGACUUAACCCAACAUCUCACGACACGAGCUGACGACAGCCAUGCAGCACCUGUCUUGUCGUUCCUUGCGGCACUCCCGCAUCUCUGCAGGAUUCGACAGAUGUCAAGGCCAGGUAAGGUUCUUCGCGUUGCAUCGAAUUAAACCACAUACUCCACCGCUUGUGCGGGCCCCCGUCAAUUCCUUUGAGUUUCAGUCUUGCGACCGUACUCCCCAGGCGGCGAACUUAACGCGUUAGCUUCGACACUGAGUACCGUAAUGUACCCAACAUCCAGUUCGCAUCGUUUAGGGCGUGGACUACCA
rnacentral:misc_RNA from 1 species